AGUGAACGCUGGCGGUAGGCCUAACACAUGCAAGUCGAACGGCAGCACAGUAAGAGUUCCUCUUACGGGCGGCGAGUGGGGGACGGGUGAGGAAGACAAUGGAAUCUACUUUUUCGUGGGGGCCAACGUAGGGAAACCUUCGCUCAUACCGCAUACGACCUACGGGUGAAAGCAGGGGGUCCUCGGACCUUGCGCUAUUGAAAGAGCCGAUGUCGGAUUAGCUAGUUGGCGGGGUAAAGGCCCACCAAGGCGACGAUCCGUAGCUGGUCUGAGAGGAUGAUCAGCCACACUGGAACUGAGACACGGUCCAGACUCCUACGGGAGGCAGCAGUGGGGAAUAUUGGACAAUGGGCGCAAGCCUGAUCCAGCCAUGCCGCGUGGGUGAAGAAGGCCUUCGGGUUGUAAAGCCCUUUUGUUGGGAAGGAAAAGCAGCAGGUUAAUACCCCGCUGUUCUGACGGUACCCAAAGAAUAAGCACCGGCUAACUUCGUG
rnacentral:rRNA from 1 species